rnacentral:rRNA from 1 species
UACGUAGGCAGCAAGCGUUGUUCGGAAUUACUGGGCGUAAAGAGUGUGUAGGCGGUGUUCUAAGUCUGUUGUGAAAUCUCCCGGCUUAACUGGGAGGGUGCGGCGGAAACUGGAAUGCUAGAGGAUGGGAGAGGUAAGCGGAAUUCCUGGUGUAGCGGUGAAAUGCGUAGAUAUCAGGAGGAACACCUGUGGUGUAGACAGCUUACUGGACCAUUCUGACGCUGAGACACGAAAGCGUGGUAGCAAACAGG